rnacentral:rRNA from 1 species
CCUACGGGUGGCAGCAGUGAGGAAUAUUGGUCAAUGGGCGAGAGCCUGAACCAGCCAAGUCGCGUGAGGGAGUACUGCCCUAUGGGUUGUAAACCUCUUUUGUCGGGGAGCAAAAGCCGGACGUGUCCGGCUGUGAGAGUUACCGAAGAAAAAGCAACGGCUAACUUCGUGCCAGCAGCCGCGGUAAUACGGAGGAUGCGAGCGUUAUCCGGAUUUUUUGGGGUUUAAGGGUGCGCGGGCGGAUUUUUAAGUCAGCGGUCAAAUCGUGGGGCUCAACCCCAUCCAGCCGUUGAAACUGGGGGUCUAGAGUGUGCGUGAGGUAUGCGGAAUGCGUGGUGUAGCGGUGAAAUGCAUAGAUAUCACGCAGAACCCCGAUUGCGAAGGCAGCAUACCGGUGCACAACUGACGCUGAGGCACGAAAGCGUGGGUAUCGAACAGGAGUAGAUACCCGAGUAGUC